AUGGAUCUUGUCAUAGCCGCUGUCGCAGGUGAUCUCUCGAACCAUUUCAUCUCUUUCCUGAUGAACAAGUACGCAGAUCACGCGUGCUUGGAGGACAAGGUGGAGAGGCUGCAACAGCUCUUGCUGAGAGUUGGCAUGGUUGUUGAGGAGGCAGACUCGCGGUACAUCACCAACUCUUGUAUGCUCAUACAGCUGAAGACCCUGGCGGCAGCCAUGUACCAAGGCCACCAUGCACUCGACACCAUCAAGUAUGGGAAACAGAAGGAUGUUGCAGAGGAAUUGAGGGUUCUCGAACCAGAGUUGCAAAGCGCGCUGCAGAACCUAGAGGCUAGUGUUGCUAACAUGGCGGAGUUUGUCGUGCUUUUGGGGGGAUGCGAGCGCAUCUCCCGUAGACCCUAUGAUGCAUAUCUUUACAUCGAUAACUUCAUGUUUGGUCGCCAUGUCGAGAAGCAGCAGAUCAUCAGGUUCUUGCUGCACCACAACACCCCUGGUUCUCCGGCCGUGCUUCCAAUCAUUGGUGGUGCUGGAGUUGGGAAGAAAACUCUUGUCGCCCAUGUAUGCGACGAUGAGAGGGUGCGUUCUCACUUUUCUGUGAUUUUGCACCUGAAUGGAGAUCACCUUUUCAGAAUGACAGACCAUGAAAGAUUGUCAGGGAGGAUAUUGGUAGUUAUUGAGUUUGUUUCAUAUAUAGAUGAAGAUGACUGGACAAUAUUCUAUCAUUUUGUUAUGAACAUGGACAGGGGAAGCAAGGUGAUGAUCUUAGGUCGAUCCGCAGAGCUAGAGAAGUUUGGAACAGUUAAACCUAUAUCCCUGAAAUGUUUGGCAUUAGAAGAGUUCAGGUACCUGUUCAAGACACUCGCAUUCGGAAGUGCGAACCCAACAGAUUAUCCGCGAUUAGUCGCGAUGGUCGAAGAGUUUGUCAUGGUGUUGGGAGGGUCACUCAUCUUAGCAAAUGUGCUUGCAGAUGCACUGAGGAAAAAUCUAGGUGCCCGUUUCUGGAUGUACAGGUUGAACGCGGUCAGAGAUAUGGUCAAGGCGAACAUUUCUUGUUUUGGCGCCCAUCCACAGAUGCUUCUGAAUCAAGGUCACCCAGUGCACCUAAUCGGCGGCAACAUUUUGUCUCCUGCAGCUCCAUCGGCUAAUGCGCCGGAAGAUGGUCUACCUAGGAUUAUGUUUGGGGACUUAAUAUCAGCAGCAGGUCACCUUGUCUUACCCAAAGGAGAUUUUAGGCUAAUUUCAUGGGAAUCAAGGCUACCGCCUUACACAUAAUUUAUUCACUUGGUGCACUCUGUUCCAAGCUGCCGCAAUGAUAAAACUGUAACACCCUUGUCAGGGAAGAAGCGUCCGGGUUUAUUUGCCUAA
rnacentral:rRNA from 1 species